UACGUAGGGGGGCUAGCGUUGUCCGGAAUCAUUGGGCGUAAAGCGCGUGUAGGCGGCCCGGUAAGUCCGCUGUGAAAGUCGGGGGCUCAACCCUCGGAUGCCGGUGGAUACUGUCGGGCUAGAGUACGGAAGAGGCGAGUGGAAUUCCUGGUGUAGCGGUGAAAUGCGCAGAUAUCAGGAGGAACACCAAUUGCGAAGGCAGCUCGCUGGGACGUUACUGACGCUGAGACGCGAAAGCGUGGGGAGCAAACAGG
rnacentral:rRNA from 1 species